UACGUAGGGUGCGAGCGUUAAUCGGAAUUACUGGGCGUAAAGUGUGCGCAGGCGGCCGCGCAAGUCGAGUGUGAAAGCCCCGGGCUUAACUUGGGAAUUGCGCUCGAAACUACGUGGCUGGAGUGUGGCAGAGGAAGGUGGAAUUCCACGUGUAGCGGUGAAAUGCGUAGGAGAAUGUGGAGGAACACCAAUGGCGAAGGCAGGCCGAU
rnacentral:rRNA from 1 species